rnacentral:rRNA from 1 species
UACGUAGGGACCAAGCGUUGUUCGGAUUUACUGGGCGUAAAGGGCGCGUAGGCGGCGUGGUAAGUCACUUGUGAAAUCUCUGAGCUUAACUCAGAACGGCCAAGUGAUACUGCUGUGCUAGAGUGCAGAAGGGGCAAUCGGAAUUCUUGGUGUAGCGGUGAAAUGCGUAGAUAUCAAGAGGGAGCACCUGAGGUGAAGACGGGUUGCUGGGCUGACACUGACGCUGAGGCGCGAAA